rnacentral:rRNA from 1 species
AAACCGACGGAACCCUUCGGGGGGAAGCCGGCGGAAUGAGCGGCGGACGGGUGAGUAACACGUAAAGAACCUGCCCUCAGGUCUGGGAUAACCACGAGAAAUCGGGGCUAAUACCGGAUGGGUCAUCGAACCGCAUGGUUCGAGGAUGAAAGGCGCUUCGGCGUCGCCUGGGGAUGGCUUUGCGGUGCAUUAGCUAGUUGGUGGGGUAAAGGCCCACCAAGGCGACGAUGCAUAGCCGACCUGAGAGGGUGAUCGGCCACACUGGGACUGAGACACGGCCCAGACUCCUACGGGAGGCAGCAGUAGGGAAUCUUCCACAAUGGACGAAAGUCUGAUGGAGCAACGCCGCGUGAACGAUGAAGGCUUUCGGGUCGUAAAGUUCUGUUGUAAGGGAAGAACAAGUGCCGCAGGCAAUGGCGGCACCUUGACGGUACCUUGCGAGAAAGCCACGGCUAACUACGUGCCAGCAGCCGCGGUAAUACGUAGGUGGCAAGCGUUGUCCGGAAUUAUU